rnacentral:misc_RNA from 1 species
GCACGCGCGCCUACCUUCGAAAUGUCUCUCACCAUGCAGAGUAGCCCACGCUACAAUUUCUUUUUAUCCGGUAUCGCGAGGCACGUAAGUAGCGAUGCCGUAGAAAACUACUUCCGAGAUUACGGAAGUGGCGUCCGUCUGCAACUCAAGCGCGACAAAGACGGGUUGUCUCUUGGCUACGGCUGGCUAACAUUUGAGAGUGUGGAUGUCGACCGCGUUGUCGCCUCGCAGCACGAGCUAGGUGGGUCACCGGUAAUGCUCAGGUAUAAGCCGGGUAAAGAAUCGCCGAAAUCCCAACCUGCUGCUCCUCCUCCGCCGCCACCACCAUCACAACCGAUCAACGCCCCAACACAGCAAGGAAGGCCACAGGAAUACUCACAGCAACAUAAAAGAUAUAGGGAAGAAACUCUCAGACCACAGGUGCACACUGCUUCUCAAACCGCGCAAAUCCAAAAGGAAAUUAUGCCGCCCGAGCCGCAAACACUCCCUGCACCACAAUCACUGCGGAAAGAGGAACGGAAGCCGGAGACGGAACCCUCUCCUACACCGAUGCUGCAGACUGUACCUUUGCAGCAGCAGUUCUCGUCCUCUCCGAAAGAGCCCGCUGCACAGCCGGUCUUUGUUUGCAUUCCACUGAGUAUUUGUCCCGGUGCAUUUUUGCACGAUCCACGGGUUUUCUGCUGCACGCUGGAUCCCUUGCAGGUAGGUAAGCUCAGUAUACUAGCGACACCAACGCCACACGCCGCCUUACCGAAUCAUCACGCUGAGCAAGCAGCAUGCGUCGUACCAGGUAUUCCUCAGCAGCAGCAUUCCACUUACGCAAGUGUAAAAAGUAAAUACACAUCACCACAGACCCCUUUAUCGAUGUCGCCGCCAUCUUCAGGCCCAGCAUCGUCACCACCACCACCGCCUGGACCACCACCUCCACAUCUAACUGCACCCUUUCGCGAAACAGUUCCACCACCACCGGGACCACCACCUCCGCCACCGCCUCCUGGACCACCUCCUACCAAAAAUUGCUCGUCCGGAACUCCUCUUCGAUUUCCUCCACCACCAGGCCCACCUCCGCGGCGUUACUGAUGAGCUGUUUGCUCUUUUCGUUUUGCAAGUCUUUUUUGCCGUGUAUCGCAGCCGCCUCAGGUAAUUCCCGUAAGAAAGGGCUGAUAAAGCCUUUUCAAUAAUGCUUAUGUGGAAAGAGGACGAAUUCAAAUUACAACCAGCAGCUUUUGCUCCGAAUCACGAAGGGAAAAUGCGGGAUAAGGAGCCAACGGAUUUCUUACCGGUGUUUUACAUGCAGCACGGUUCUUGUGCAUGUUGCGCACUGUAGAGCAAUGAUCUGCUUUUGGCAUUGUGCCAGGUAGGCAAGAUGAGUCAAACUGCAGUGCUGAUUGUGGAUAAAAUUGCACCAACUACCAAGCCUUCGAAAACUAGGCGAUUAGCCCAAGCAGCGUUAUUUGUGCUUCGCAUGUGUUAUGUGCGUGAGGCACCG